ensembl:lncRNA
GCCUGCCCAGGAGGCCUGGGGAGCAGGGCCAGCCGUCAGGACUGCGCCAGGCCUGCCCGCAUAGACAUGCCCACUGCCCAAGCUGACGCAGGCUCCAGGAAUGCAAACAAAGCUGGGUGGAGGGGCCUUCUGAGGGCCAGGGCGCCGGGCCAGGCAGGAGGGAACCGGCCUGGAGGAGAGGCCUGCGGAGGGGCCUCAGGCCCCUGACGAGCCCCACUCUGGUGUCCUUGGAGCCCCGGCUGCUGGAAAGAUACCCCUCCUGGUGUGACUGCCCUGGCACUGCCUCUGGCCUGGCCUCCAAACUACUCCUUUUGGGGUAGGGACACGAGUUCCCCUAGGUCAGAGGGUUUCCAAAUUGGUCCCUGGAUCAGUGGCACUGCAUCACCUGGGGACUGGUCAGAAAUGCAGAGUCUCAGGCCCCCACCCCAGCCCUGGUAGAUCAGAAACGCUGUGGGUAGAGGCCAGAGAGCUGAGGUUUAACAAGCCCUCCUAGGCGACUCCGAUGUGCGCUCAGGUUUGAGGACCGCUGCACUUCAUUUUCUCCAAGUCAGCUUCAAACCCACAUCUGCUGGUUAUUUAUUGACCAAAUUAAGAGGUAAUGCUUAAGGAGCGCCUUCUGUGUGCCAGACCCCAGGCUAACCGCUUGACGCAUGCUUGCUCAUUCACUCUCCACGUCAACCCCGUGACAUCAUCUUCUGUGAUCAUUUCUCCAUCUUACAGGUGCCAUAAGUACUGCUUUUUAGCCAGAAGCCAGUGUUCUGGGACCUUGUAGGUGAUGGGAGAUCCUGGACUCAACUCAGAUUUGGCCCAUAUUGAUUAACUGGUUUACAGAGUCCUAUCCAACUCUUUGUGACCCCAUGGAUGUAGCCCCCCAGGCCCCUCUGUCCAUGGGAUUUUCCAGGCAAGAAUACUAAAGCGGGUUGCCAUUUCCUCUUCUGGGGGAUCUUCCUGACCCAGGAAUCAAACCCACAUCUCCCAUGUCUCCUGUAUUGGCUGAUGGAUUCUUUACUGCUGAGCCACCCAGGAAGAAUAUGCACUCUGCGUUCAAACCCAGACUUCACCACUUACUCUGAUUAUUGUUGCAAACUUCUAGUUCCUUGGUUUUCCUUUUCCAUGAAAUAAAGUGAAAGUGAAGUCACU